GGAGUCGCCAUAGUUACACAUUCAGGAAAUGGUAAAUUUAUUGACAGCAUGCCCACUGCUAGGCCUACGACGACGUCUAGAACUGUUUUUACAGUAAUUUCGCCGUCUGUAACCGAGGGGAAAACAGUGCACACACAACACAGUAAGCUAGGACAUCGAUAUCUAGCAACCUUUGCUGUUCUAUUUUGACAUCCGAGGGGAAGGAAAACGGUCCAACUGGUUGCUAGCUUGGUGGUUAGCUAGCUACCGCUAACUAUACAAUCAGCGCUUUGCUGCAGCCACACAGACGGGGCUAGUUCGCUGUCCAAGGUGCUGAAGUUGAUCAUAUUUGCGUUGCAGCCAUAAACCAAGGAGUAGCUAAUAAUAUGAGCGUAAACACCGUGCCCUGUACCGUGAAGCCUACUGUCACCUUGCAGAUUGGAGAUGCUGAGACUGAUUCCUCUCGUCCCGGUGUCUAUGUCAUAGACGUUACACUUCCUAUAGGACAGACUGUCAACAUCCAGGAGAUCUCCUUUAAGAACUACUACACAGCAUACGUGUCUGUGCGUCUACUGAGGAGAGAUGGGGAGGGGGCUGCUAAAUGGGUCACGUGUCUGAGGAACCACUGUCUGAUGCCCAGCCCACAUACUGAAGAGGGUUCACAAGACUACUGCUCUGUCUACCGUCAACAGAUAAAGCAUCACAGCUCAGGUUUGCUUAGUUUUUGAUGCUGAUUGAACCAGACAAUGUGACUUCAGUGAGACUGAUCCUACGACAGCCGUCAUCAGCCUGGCUGAAUUUCAGCGUGGAGGACAUCAAAAUACACCCCUGUUUAAACGAGGAUUCAGAGUGGGACAUUCCUGAUUGGUUGUCAGACCUCACACAGGUGGACCAACUGUGUGAUUUACAGGGUCUUCCAGAUCCUCAGACGGUAUCUUGCAGUAUUCAGCAGAUGUGGGCGUUAACAGAAGUCAUGCAGACCAACCAGACCACUGCUUCCAUAGGCCGCUUUGAUGUUGAUGGCUGCUACGAUAUCAACUUGUUGUCCUUCACUUAACAAGGAAUUGACUGGAGGUUCAUUUUACAUGGUGUUGAUCAAAUGUGAAGAUCACCAUUGUUAUCUCUCCCAAAGUGUAUUUGAUUCAUUUUCCGACUUUGUUAUAUUUAAGCUUUCUGAAAAUAAUGUACAUUUAUUUGUGAAACACUGUCAACUUUUAAUUUUUUUAACACCUAGGCCACCUUUGCCACUCAUGAUGGUACCUUUGUUUAUUAUACAAGUCCAAUAGAAGUGAGAUGCAUGGUGGCCUUCAGCCAGAUGAGGACAGUAGUGCUUCUUGAAUGAGACCAAGGAGCCACUGUUAACUAACUAUCUGAGAUGUGGAUAUAUCAUACUGGCUGGGGUUCUGAGUGGUUUGCAGUCUCCAAUUCUCUUUUUUCGAUAAAAAAAUACAUUUUAAAAAGUGACCUUUUAAUUUAACUAGGCAAGUCAGUUAUUCUUAUUUACAAUGACGGCCAACCCCGGCCAAACCCUAACCGGUUGUGAUACAGCCAGGAAUCUAACCAGGGUCUGUAGUGACGCCUCUAGCACUGAGAUACAGUCCCUUAGACCGCUGCGCCACUCUGGAGGAUAGGAUACAGCAUGCUGGCUGGGGUUCUGUCUACAAUUCUCUUAUUGUAUGUAAGUUAUUCAUGAAUAAUUAUGCAUGUCUAAUUUCCCUUCAAUGCAAACAAUUUACAUCAACGUUGUACUGAUGAAAGAAGUGAAGGAACCGUUAUGGUAUGUAUUAGUUGCUUUAUAAGAUGACAUCAUACAUGCUCAUAUAGCAAGUCAUUCAUUCAACACAUAGGCUCUGUUAUUAUAUCCCAAUGAUAUUCCUGUAUCCUGCAAGCAACCAACUGUUAGAGCGUUAGGUCGGUCUUUUACGGAACUAAUUAAAUAAAUGUCAAUUCCAAAAAGCAAA